UACAGAGGGUGCAAGCGUUAAUCGGAAUUACUGGGCGUAAAGCGUGCGUAGUCGGUUAUUUAAGUCGGGUGUGAAAGCCCCGGGCUCAACCUGGGAAUUGCAUUCGAUACUGGAUAGCUAGAGUUCGGCAGAGGGAAGCGGAAUUUCCGGUGUAGCGGUGAAAUGCGUAGAUAUCGGGAGGAACACCAGUGGCGAAGGCGACUACCUGGCCUGUUCUUGACGCUGAGGCGCGAAAGCUAGGGGAGCAAACGGG
rnacentral:rRNA from 1 species